rnacentral:rRNA from 1 species
GGUUAAGCGACUAAGCGUACACGGUGGAUGCCCUGGCAGUCAGAGGCGAUGAAGGACGUGCUAAUCUGCGAAAAGCGUCGGUAAGGUGAUAUGAACCGUUAUAACCGGCGAUGUCCGAAUGGGGAAACCCAGUGCAAUUCGUUGCACUAUCGUUAACUGAAUACAUAGGUUAACGAGGCGAACCGGGGGAACUGAAACAUCUAAGUACCCCGAGGAAAAGAAAUCAACCGAGAUUCCCCCAGUAGCGGCGAGCGAACGGGGAGCAGCCCAGAGUCUGAAUCAGCUUGUGUGUUAGUGGAACGGUCUGGAAAGUCCGACGGUACAGGGUGAUAGUCCCGUACACCAAAAUGCACAGGCUGUGAACUCGAAGAGUAGGGCGGGACACGUGGUAUCCUGUCUGAAUAUGGGGGGACCAUCCUCCAAGGCUAAAUACUCCUGACUGACCGAUAGUGAACCAGUACCGUGAGGGAAAGGCGAAAAGAACCCCGGCGAGGGGAGUGAAAAAGAACCUGAAACCGUGUACGUACAAGCAGUGGGAGCACCUUCGGGUGUGACUGCGUACCUUUUGUAUAAUGGGUCAGCGACUUAUAUUCUGUAGCAAGGUUAACCGUAUAGGGGAGCCGCAGGGAAACCGAGUCUUAACUGGGCGUUAAGUUGCAGGGUAUAGACCCGAAACCCGGUGAUCUAGCCAUGGGCAGGUUGAAGGUUGGGUAACACUAACUGGAGGACCGAACCGACUAAUGUUGAAAAAUUAGCGGAUGACUUGUGGCUGGGGGUGAAAGGCCAAUCAAACCGGGAGAUAGCUGGUUCUCCCCGAAAGCUAUUUAGGUAGCGCCUCGUGAACUCAUCUUCGGGGGUAGAGCACUGUUUCGGCUAGGGGGUCAUCCCGACUUACCAACCCGAUGCAAACUACGAAUACCGAAGAAUGUUAUCACGGGAGACACACGGCGGGUGCUAACGUCCGUCGUGAAGAGGGAAACAACCCAGACCGCCAGCUAAGGUCCCAAAGUCAUGGUUAAGUGGGAAACGAUGUGGGAAGGCACAGACAGCCAGGAUGUUGGCUUAGAAGCAGCCAUCAUUUAAAGAAAGCGUAAUAGCUCACUGGUCGAGUCGGCCUGCGCGGAAGAUGUAACGGGGCUAAACCAUGCACCGAAGCUGCGGCAGCGACACUAUGUGUUGUUGGGUAGGGGAGCGUUCUGUAAGCCUGCGAAGGUGACCUGUGAGGGUUGCUGGAGGUAUCAGAAGUGCGAAUGCUGACAUAAGUAACGAUAAAGCGGGUGAAAAGCCCGCUCGCCGGAAGACCAAGGGUUCCUGUCCAACGUUAAUCGGGGCAGGGUGAGUCGACCCCUAAGGCGAGGCCGAAAGGCGUAGUCGAUGGGAAACAGGUUAAUAUUCCUGUACUUGGUGUUACUGCGAAGGGGGGACGGAGAAGGCUAUGUUAGCCGGGCGACGGUUGUCCCGGUUUAAGCAUGUAGGCUGGUUGUCCAGGCAAAUCCGGAUAAUCAAGGCUGAGGUGUGAUGACGAGGCACUACGGUGCUGAAGUAACAAAUGCCCUGCUUCCAGGAAAAGCCUCUAAGCAUCAGGUAACAUUAAAUCGUACCCCAAACCGACACAGGUGGUCAGGUAGAGAAUACCAAGGCGCUUGAGAGAACUCGGGUGAAGGAACUAGGCAAAAUGGUGCCGUAACUUCGGGAGAAGGCACGCUGGUGUGUAGGUGAAGUCCCUGCGGAUGGAGCUGAGACCAGUCGAAGAUACCAGCUGGCUGCAACUGUUUAUUAAAAACACAGCACUGUGCAAACACGAAAGUGGACGUAUACGGUGUGACGCCUGCCCGGUGCCGGAAGGUUAAUUGAUGGGGUUAUCCGUAAGGAGAAGCUCUUGAUCGAAGCCCCGGUAAACGGCGGCCGUAACUAUAACGGUCCUAAGGUAGCGAAAUUCCUUGUCGGGUAAGUUCCGACCUGCACGAAUGGCGUAAUGAUGGCCAGGCUGUCUCCACCCGAGACUCAGUGAAAUUGAACUCGCUGUGAAGAUGCAGUGUACCCGCGGCAAGACGGAAAGACCCCGUGAACCUUUACUAUAGCUUGACACUGAACAUUGAGCCUUGAUGUGUAGGAUAGGUGGGAGGCUUUGAAGCGUGGACGCCAGUCUGCGUGGAGCCAACCUUGAAAUACCACCCUUUAAUGUUUGAUGUUCUAACGUUGGCCCCUGACCGGGGUUGCGGACAGUGUCUGGUGGGUAGUUUGACUGGGGCGGUCUCCUCCCAAAGCGUAACGGAGGAGCACGAAGGUUAGCUAAUCCUGGUCGGACAUCAGGAGGUUAGUGCAAUGGCAUAAGCUAGCUUGACUGCGAGCGUGACGGCGCGAGCAGGUGCGAAAGCAGGUCAUAGUGAUCCGGUGGUUCUGAAUGGAAGGGCCAUCGCUCAACGGAUAAAAGGUACUCCGGGGAUAACAGGCUGAUACCGCCCAAGAGUUCAUAUCGACGGCGGUGUUUGGCACCUCGAUGUCGGCUCAUCACAUCCUGGGGCUGAAGUAGGUCCCAAGGGUAUGGCUGUUCGCCAUUUAAAGUGGUACGCGAGCUGGGUUUAGAACGUCGUGAGACAGUUCGGUCCCUAUCUGCCGUGGGCGCUGGAGAAUUGAGGGGGGCUGCUCCUAGUACGAGAGGACCGGAGUGGACGCAUCACUGGUGUUCGGGUUGUCAUGCCAAUGGCACUGCCCGGUAGCUAAAUGCGGAAGAGAUAAGUGCUGAAAGCAUCUAAGCACGAAACUUGCCCCGAGAUGAGUUCUCCCUGAGACUUUAAGUCUCCUGAAGGAACGUUGAAGACGAUGACGUUGAUAGGCCGGGUGUGUAAGCGCAGCGAUGCGUUGAGCUAACCGGUACUAAUGAACCGUGAGGCUUAACCUU